AAGCUGCUUACAAAGACUGUUUUCAAUCACUGCACAAAGAUUAAGAAACCACAUCAGUAUCACACAAGAAAACAGCACAUUACAUAGUUCAAUGGCAUACUGAUUUUAAUCAAUUUUUGUAAUUAAAUGCCAUUCCUAUUUGAUUGAUAGGAAUGACAUUCUGAGUUAACAUGCAAAAUGUUAUUCCUAUUGAUUGAUAUGCUCUGUAAUGAAAUCAAGGUUGUGAAGAGGUAAUUAACUUGCAUUUGAUUUUUUUUUCCCACUUUAUUAAUUAUAGCAAGAAGAAGAAGAAAAAAAAAAAGGUUUAUAUUCUAAUUAAUUUCCUUUACCUUUUUAUUUAUUUAUUUA